rnacentral:rRNA from 1 species
UGGGGAAUAUUGGACAAUGGGCGAAAGCCUGAUCCAGCCAUGCCGCGUGUGUGAAGAAGGUCUUCGGAUUGUAAAGCACUUUAAGUUGGGAGGAAGGGCAGUUACCUAAUACGUAUCUGUUUUGACGUUACCGACAGAAUAAGCACCGGCUAACUCUGUGCCAGCAGCCGCGGUAAUACAGAGGGUGCAAGCGUUAAUCGGAAUUACUGGGCGUAAAGCGCGCGUAGGUGGUUUGUUAAGUUGGAUGUGAAAUCCCCGGGCUCAACCUGGGAACUGCAUUCAAAACUGACAAGCUAGAGUAUGGUAGAGGGUGGUGGAAUUUCCUGUGUAGCGGUGAAAUGCGUAGAUAUAGGAAGGAACACCAGUGGCGAAGGCGACCACCUGGACUGAUACUGACACUGAGGCGCGAAAGCGUGGGGAGCAAACAGGAUUAGAUACCCCCGUAGUCCCUGAGCGGGCUGGCAAGGCGCAU